rnacentral:piRNA from 1 species
UGCCAUUCAUCUUGUGCUGUUUUGGGAAGC